UCAUAACUGUUGGUAAAGAAUCUGCCUGCAAUGCAGGAGACCCAGGUUUGAUUCCUGGGUUGGGAA
rnacentral:tRNA from 1 species